rnacentral:rRNA from 1 species
AGCAUGCGGCUUAAUUUGACUCAACACGGGAAAACUUACCCGGCCCGGACACAGGAAGGAUUGACAGAUUAAGAGCUCUUUCUUGAUUCUGUGGGUGGUGGUGCAUGGCCGUUCUUAGUUGGUGGAGCGAUUUGUCUGGUUAAUUCCGAUAACGAACGAGACUCUAGCCUACUAAAUAGACGUUCCGAUCCACUGCGUCGGACGUUCUUCUUAGAGGGACAAGCGGCGUUUAGCCGCACGAGACAGAGCAAUAACAGGUCAGUGAUGCCCUUAGAUGUUCGGGGCCGCACGCGCGCUACAUUGAAGGAAUCAGCGUGUGCUUUCCCUGUCCGACAGGACUGGGUAACCCGUUGAAACUCUUUCGUGCUGGGGAUAGGAACUUGUAAUUGUUUUCCUUGAACGAGGAAUUCCCAGUAAGCGCGAGUCAUAAGCUCGCGUUGAUUACGUCCCUGCCCUUUGUACACACCGCCCGUCGCUACUACCGAUUGAACGAUUUAGUGAGGUCUUCGGACUGGCGCUCGGAGCGGCUUUCGGGUCGUGCCGGCGUGCCGGAAAGAUGACCGAAC